AAAAACAAACAAAAAACAAAACAAAACAAAAACCAAAAAAAC
rnacentral:sRNA from 1 species